CAAAUCCCCCAGUUAUUGCCCACAGAGCCAGGUAGCUGUGCUUGAUGCUUUGCAGGUCUCCCUGGGCAAUGCCUUUGGUGCCCGCGUGGAUGAGCAGCACAGGAUGAUAGUGUGAGGGGCAGACAAGCCUCGGCUGCCUUCACCGAUGGGCCUUCCCACUGCAACAGAAACGCCCUCAAGAUCAUGAUCCCAGACAAGUCGCCUUGACCUCCUCUCCCUCUUUUGUCCAUCCAGGCCCUCACUGCUCCUGGCUGGGCUUUGUUAUUUACUGCAGGUCCUAACAAACCCACACACCUGCCUGCCUCCUCCCCAUGGACUUCAGUGACAUCAUUAAACUCCCUGGCACCUCCAUGCCCUUGGUGUCCCCCAGGAAACCCUGCAAGUCCAAGGACACUUCGACACCUUCCCGUGUGGUUGGGGUUCAGGGAACUGUCCAAAGAGGACAGUGGAGAUGGCACUGACAAGUUAGAACAGGCUUCUCUGAGCAAAAGUCAUUCCACUCCUCAUAGCACCCCCACAUUGCCUCUCUCCUUUACCUUGCUCACCUGCCUUUCCUGAUCUCUGGUUUGUGCUGAGGAUGCUGUGCAGCACGGGGGCCUCUGCCCAUGGGCUCCACAGGAGUCAGCCCUGCUCUGCUGGGGGUGCAAAUGGAGAUGUCAGACUGCCUUGUGCAUUUGGUGGGCAUCCCUGGGGAUGGGCACCAUGAGCUAACCUGCCUUGCCAGGGGUGACUCCUUCCACCCAGAGCUUCGCCCUGCAGUGCUGUGGGGAGCUCCGCGGGCAGGCUGAGUGCUGACCCUCGCAGGCAGCAGAGUCACUGCCCUGGGCACACAGCACCCCGGGGUGCAGGGAUACUGCUCUGAAUUCCAGCCCUGGAGAUUCCUGCUGAAGAUCUCCAGCACCAUGAUCUGCUUUGAGAUGGCCUAACUUUACAGUUAGGUCAGGUUGGUAAGUGUUUUCUCCAGGAGAGUUUUUAAAGAUCUCCUGGUCCCUGCCCCACUACUGCUCCACUAUCAUGGUGACUAUAUAUAUAUAUAUAUAAUUUUUUCCUUAAAAUUUCUGUUGUGCUUUCCUCCCCUUGGCCCCCAGCCACACCAUCCCAUCUACAUUGACCGAGGACAAUCACAGCCUCACCUCCAAGCACAGCCUUGCUGGGAUCUCCUGGGACAAUGCAGGUGGGCCGUGGUGGCCAGCUCUAAGCAGACCUACAUGCUGCAGGUCCCUACAUGGUCUCAGAGGAGAGUGUAUGGAGACACAGCAUGACCCAGGGCAGAGCCUGUGGGCUGACACCAAGGCAGAGCUGGGGUCAGCAGGGCUGAGAAGAGAACCUCCAGCAGCUCCUUCCCACACUCAGGCAGGGAGUGACGCACCCAGCAGUGCUCCUGAGAGGGUAUGGUGACACAAGA
rnacentral:lncRNA from 1 species